rnacentral:miRNA from 1 species
CUCACUGAUCAGUGAAUGCAA